UGAGAAGCCGGAGGCCGAGAGGGCCGGGCCGACUUGAAGAGGUGGGGAUUGCUGAGGGCUGGUCUGUCGGCUCUGGAAAUCCUGUCAUACUGUCACUUUUGGAUUCCGCCGUUUCCGUCCCAACGGAAAACUGGGGCUCCUGGAUUCCCCUGACCCGAGUUGUAACCACCGACGAGAAUCUUUUUCACUGGCGGCCUCGGCGUCGGCAUUUUAUAAAAUGAGAGCGGGGAGGGCGGCCGAAGACGAGUGUGCGGAGCCUUAGGCCCCCCGCUCGGGUCCGCUUUUCGUAUAUUCGGUUUUGGACAAAGAUGAAGAAACAAAUCUAGAGACUGGAUGACCUUGGAUCUCAGAAAUCUUUUUUGGUAUUUCAGCAUGUGUAUGGAUGGUAUACUAAGAAUUGAUCACAUUUGGUUGUUGAGGGGCCAGGAUGGCUGAUUGGAAGUAGCUGCAGUCUGUGGCACUCACAGAGAGGAAUGAAAGGAGCAAGUGAAUUCAGCACCUUCAAUUGAGAUAUUCGGGUUCUCAUAUUGGGACUGACUAAGCAAAUAGCUUGACCCACAGAGAAUGAAAAGAAGUGGGGUGGGGUGAUGACCCACUUGGGAGCAGCACCAAGCCAAGGGAACCCCCACCCCCAGCCAAGGGAAGUGGUGAGUCAAUGCGUGACCCUUCCCCAGAAAUUACACUCAUCCCAUGGAUCUCUGCAAGCUGUGGAUCAGGAGAUCCCCUCAUGAGCCACAAUACCAGGGUCUUGGGCUCGAUACAUGGCCUGUGUGGAGUCUUGGCAGAGUGGCCACUCAGGCACACACAGACACCCAGGAGUUUUGCAUACUCCAGCCCCAGGAUCUGUGGCAAGGCAGAAGAUUCAUCUGUGCAUGUCCCUAGGAAGGGGGCUGAGUCUGGGGAGCCAAGUGGCAUCAUUCUGCAGGCCCCAUUUCCAUGGCAUCUCACAGGUUGAGACCCAAUGGCUUGGAAUUCCAGCCAGCCGGCAGCAGUAGGCUGGAGUCUGCCUGAGUCUGGACCAAGUUCCCAGGGGUAGGGGUGGCUGCCAUCUCUGUGGUUUGGUAGACUCAGUUGUUUCAGCCUGCCAGCUUUGAAAAAUACAGGUGGUCUGAACAAGGGGGGGAUCCCCACAGGACAGCACAGCUGCCUUGCCAGAUCUUGGCCAGACUGCUUUUUUAAGCAGGACCCUGAACCAUUUCUUCUCACUGGGUGAGACCUCCCUGCAGGGGCUUCAGCCACUCCAGCAAGUGUUCUAUAGACAGAGCUCUGAUCUCUACCCCCAGGGAGAGCUUUGUCCCACAAAGCUCCAGGGGGAGGGGUGGCUACCAUCUCUGCAGUUUGGUAGACUCAGCUGUUCCAGCCUGCUGGCUUUGGAGAAUACAAAUGGUCCAGAUGAGGAAUGGUCCUCCCCAACUCAGCUUACCUGCUCUACCAAAGGGCAGUCAGACUGCUUCUUUAGGUAGGUCCCUGAUCCUGUUCUUUCCCACUGGGUGAGACCUCCUAGCAGGGGUCUUCAACCACCUCCUGCAGCCACAUUCAGGCUGGCAACAAGUGAGUGGCCCCGGAGUUGGAGUUUCUGGAGGAAGGAGCAGGCUUCCCUCUUUGCUGUUUUGCAGGCAUCACUUGUGAUACCUCCAGGUAUGGGAAAAACCGAGGCAACUAGGGUCUGGAGUGGAACCCCAGCAAACCACAACAGCUUUACUGAAGAGUGGCCUGUUAAAACAAACAGAAAAUAACAACAUCCACAAAGAUCUCACAAAAGUCAGAAACCUCAAAGAUUGAAGGUAGAUAACCCCACAAAGAUGAGAAAAAAUCAACACAAAAACACUGAAAACUCAAAAAGUCAGUGUGUCUUCUCCUCCAAAUGACCACAACACCUAUCCAGCAAGGGCACAGAACUGGGCUGAGGCUGAGAUGGCUGAAUUGACAGAAGUAGACUUUAGAAGGUGGGUAAUAAUGAACUUCACAGAGCUAAAGGAGCAUGUUAUAACCCAAUGCAAAGAAGCUAGGAAUCAUGAUAAGACAAUACAGGUGCGACAACCAGAAUAGCCAGUUAUGUUUCUCUCCUUUAGAGAGAUUUAGAAGUCCUGGCCACAGCUAUGAGCCUGCAAGAUAAAGAAAUCAAGAGUAUUCUAGUAGGAAGAGAGGAAGUCAUAUUGUCUUUGUUUACAGAUGACAUGAUCCUAUAUCUAGAAAACUCCAUUGUCUUGGCCCAAAAGCUUCUAAGCUGAUAAGCAACUUCAGCAAAGUCUCAGGAUAUAAAAUCAAUGUGUAAAAAUUGCUAGCAUUUCUAUACACCAAUAACAAGCAAGCAGAGAGCCAAAUUAUGAAUGAACUCCCAUUCACAAUUGCUACAGAAAGAAAAAAAUAUCCAGGAAUACAGCUAACAAGGGAAGUGAAGGACCUCUUCAAGGAGAACUACAAACGGCUGCUCAAGGAAAUCAGAGAGGACACAAACAAAUGGAAAAACAUUCCAUGGUCAUGGAUAGGAAGAAUCAAUACAGUGAAAAUGGCCAUACUGCCCAAAGUAAUUUGUGGAAUCAAUGCUAUUCCCAUUAAACUACCAUUGACACUCUUCACAGAAUUACAAAAAACUAUUCUAAAAUUUGUAUGGAACUAAAAGAGAGCUUGAAAAGCCAAAUCAUCCUAAGCAAAAAGAACAAAGCUGGAGGUAUCACGCUACCUGACUUCAGAUUAUACUACAAGGCUACAGUAACUAAAACAGCAUGGUACUGGUACAAGAGCAGACACAUAGACCAAUGGAACAGAAUAGAGAACUCAGAAAUAAGACCACACACCUACAGUGAUUUGAUCCUCAACAAACCUGACAAAAACAAGCAAUGGGGGAAGAUUUUUUAUUUUAUAAGUGAUGCUGGGAGAACUGGCUUUCCAAAUGCGGAAAGUUGAAACUGGAACCCUUCCUUACACCAUAUGCAGAAAUUAACUCAAGGUGGAUUAAAGACUUGAUGUAAAACACAAAAGUAUAAAAACCCUAGAAGAAAAUCUAGGCAAUACCAUUCAGGACAUAGGCACAGACAAAGAUUUCAUGAUGAAAAUGCCAAAAGCAAUAGCAGCAAAAGCAAAAAUCGACAAAUGGGAUCUAAUUAAACCAAAGAACUUCUGCACAGCUGAAGAAACAAUCAUCAGAGUGAAUAGACAACCUACAGAAUGGGAGAAAAUUUUUGCAAUCUAUCCAUCUGACAAAGUUCUAAUAUCCAGAGUCUACAAGGAACUUAAAUUUAUAAGAAAGAAAAAACCCCAUUAAAAAGUGGGCAAAGACAUGAAGAGACACUUAUCAAAAGAAGACAUACACAUGGCCAACAAGCAUAUGAAAAAGAAGCUGAACAUCACUGAUCGUUAGGGAAAUGCACAUAAAAACCACAAUGAGAUACCAUCUCAUGCUAGUCAGAAUGGCUAUUACUAAAAAGCCAAAAAACAACAGAUGUUGCGAGGUUGCAGAGAAAAAGGAAUGCCUUUACACUGUUAGUAGGAGUGUAAAUUAGUUCAACUGUGGGGAUUCUUCAAAGAUCUAGAGGCGGAAAUACCAUUUGACUUAGCAACCCUAUUAUUAGGUUUUUCCCCAAAGGAAUAUAAAUCACUUAAUUGUAAAGAUACAUGCACGUGUAUGUUCAUUACGGAACUAUUCACAAUAGCAAAGACAUGAAAUCAACAUAAAUGCCCAUCAACAAUAGACUGGAUAAAGAAAAUAUGAUACAUAUACACCAUGGAACACUAUGCAGCCAUGAAAAGGAUCAGGACAUAGAUGAAAUUGGAAGCCAUUAUCCUCAGCAAACUAACACAGGAAUAGAAAACCAAAUGUUGCUUGUUCUCACUUACAAGUGGAAGCUGAAUUAUGAGAAUACAUGGACACAUGGGGUGUGGGGAACAACACACACUGGGGACACGUGGGGACUGUCGUGGGGACAGGGGGAAGGAGAGCAUCAGGAAAAAUAGCUAACGGAUGCUGGGCUUAAUACCUAGGUGAUGGAAUGAUCUGUGCAGCAAACCACCAUGGCACACAUUUACCUAUGUAACAAACCUGCACAUCUGGAACAUGUCCCUUUGAACUUGAAGAAAAAGAAUUGAUCACAUUUUCCUGGUUUCUCAUAUAUUAAGUAUUUUGAAUUAUAGUUAGACUUUGUGAUUUGUCCUCAGUCCUGGCACAUAAAUCUUGAGAUACCCUGUGUACUAUGAUUAAUUAUUUUGAAUACACUGCACUAACUCAUCUUGUAACAUAUUUUUAGUUUUAGUUUUUUUAUAUAUAUACUAUGUAUCCAUAAUAGUUACAGUUUAUAUAGGGUACAUGAGAUAUUUUGAUACAGGCGUGCAAUACAUAAUAAUCACACCAGGGUGAAUGUAGUAUCACUCACCUCAAGCAUUUAUCUCUGUGUUACAAACAAUCCUAUUAAAAAUCAGAAAUGAGAUAUUCCAACAGAUGCCUCAGAAAUAAAAAUAUUAUAAUUGACUAUUAUGAAGAAUUAUAUACUAACUAAUUGGAUAACCUAGAAGGAAUGGAUAAAUUCCUGGAAACAUGCAACCUACCAAAACCAAAUCAAGAACAAAUAGAUAUCCUGAACAGACCAGUAACAAACAAGAUUAAAUUAGCAACGAAAAACUUCCCAACAAAGAAAAGCCCAGGGCCAGAUGGCUUCA
rnacentral:lncRNA from 1 species